rnacentral:rRNA from 1 species
CACGGGGUUGCGAGCGUUGUCCGGAAUUACUGGGCGUAAAGAGCUCGUAGGUGGUUUGUCGCGUCGUCUGUGAAAUCCCGGGGCUUAACCUCGGGCGUGCAGGCGAUACGGGCAUAACUUGAGUGCUGUAGGGGAGACUGGAAUUCCUGGUGUAGCGGUGAAAUGCGCAGAUAUCAGGAGGAACACCAAUGGCGAAGGCAGGUCUCUGGGCCACUACUGACGCUGAGAAGCGAAAGCAUGGGGAGCGAACAGGAUUAGAUA